UACGAAGGGGGCUAGCGUUGUUCGGAAUUACUGGGCGUAAAGCGCACGUAGGCGGAUACUUAAGUUAGGGGUGAAAUCCCGGGGCUCAGCCCCGGAACUGCCUUUGAUACUGGGUAUCUGGAGUCCGAGAGAGGUGAGUGGAAUUCCGAGUGUAGAGGUGAAAUUCGUAGAUAUUCGGAGGAACACCAGUGGCGAAGGCGGCUCACUGGCUCGGUACUGACGCUGAGGUGCGAAAGCGUGGGGAGCAAACAGG
rnacentral:rRNA from 1 species